UGGAGGUCAAGGUCCAUGCUGGAUAUGCAGUGGAGGGUAACUGCAGGAGAAGGAAAGCUAGUGGGGGACUAGAGCAGGGGAGGAUGUGCGUCCCCGGGGCAUGCUGGAGGUCAAGGGCCAUGCUGGAUAUGCGGUGGAGCGUAACUACAAGAAAGGUAAGCUAGUGGGGGACUAGAGCAGGGGAGGAUGUGCGUCCCCGGGGCAUGCUGGAGGUCAAGGGCCAUGCUGGAUAUGCGGUGGAGGGUAACUGCGGGAGAAGGAAAGCUAGUGGGGGAGUAGAGCAGAGGAGUAUGUUGGUCCCCGGGGCCUGCUGGAGGUCCAGGUCCAUGCCCGAUGUGAGUAGCAGCAGGGCCAGCGCGCCCAGGAGCACAUCUUUUUCGACCGUAAAGGGAGACAGGAGGCCGACUCACUGCCUCGGCUAAAUGGAGAGGGAAUUUCAGAAGGGCCAGGGCACAAGCAUGGACCU
ensembl:lncRNA